rnacentral:rRNA from 1 species
AUGGUCAUUGGCUCAUUGCCGUCGGUAUUGAUUCUGCCAGUAGCUACUGCUAGUGUUGAAAGAGUAUUCUCUUCAAUUAGCCAUGUGAAGAAUAAGCUAAGGAACAAAAUGGGUGAUGAAUAUUUGAACAAUUGUUUGGUUACAUUUGUUGAGAGAGAAUUUUUCAAUCAAGUGAAGGAUGAAGAUGUCAUCAAUCUCUUCCAAAAAGGCGACCGUAGAGUUAUAAUGUAA